GAAAAGAAUCAUGCGACGACAUGAACGAAGGGGAACACAAACAAAGACAGAAAGAAAGAAAGAAAUAAAACGUGAGACUAGGAAACUCGUGAGAUGGCAGAUACAACUUACAGUGAAUGCAAGCAAGCAAGGGGAAUGGAAUGGAAAGGGGAAGGGAUGGGGGUUGCAUUGCCCUGGCCAUGGCCUUGCCGUCAUCCUCCCCCUUCCGGGUUGUAGGCAUGUUUGCCAAGCCGACAACUCACACACAGUGCUUUCUGUGUGUGUGUCUCUCUCUAUUAAACCUUUCUCGUGGGCUCUCAAGCGGCGCCGCAUUGCAGAUGCCACCUGAAUAUUCCUCUCUUCCAUUGUGUCUAUUUAUCUUUCUGGAAAUGACUUUCCUCCCUCCCUCGCACCGCAACGCCCUACUGAAGCGCUACUGUUUCCCCCUUGCAGCAAUCGUUCGUUCGUUGGUUCGGGGAGGGAGGCGGUUCUCGCGCACCACAGCAGCAGCACCAGCAGCAGCAGGUGGGCAUCCAUCCAUCCAUCCAGGCCUUCCUUCCCUUCCCAACCCCUUCGUCACAUUGCUCAGAUGGUGGUAGCUGUGGUAGGUGAGGGGUCCCAUGGAUGAUGCUAGUGAUGGUGGUGAUGAUGAUGGUGAUGGUGGUGAUGAUGAAUGGAAGGGUGCCUGGGCGUUGUGUUCACUUUUGCUGACUGAGCUCUCAGCCAAGUCUGCAUUGUGGUCAUACUGGGCAACACAUAGCUCUCAUACAGAAGGGAAGGGACAGAAGUACCACAAACAAACAACUAUCUUAUCAAUCUUAUCUAUUCUAUUCUAGCUACAGCUAAUGUCAUUCAUAUAAAGUUAGACAUUAAGUGCUUUACAACAUUGUUUGAAGCAACCUUUGACUAUUCUUGGAUUUAUAGGUGGGUAGAAAAAGUUCAAUUUAGAGAUCAAGCAAAAUCUAUCACUUCAAUUUUAUUUUAAAUAAUGCAU
rnacentral:lncRNA from 1 species